GCCUCAGUAGCUCAGUAGUAGAGCGCUUGUCUCGUAAUUUAUCAAAUAAAGGUGAAAACAAGAGGCCGCGGGUGCGAUCCCCGUCUGAGGCU
rnacentral:tRNA from 1 species